CUGAUCAGCCAUUCCGCGUGAGUGAUGAAGGCCUUAGGGUUGUAAAGCUCUUUUAGUCCGAGGAAGAUAAUGGACGGUACCGGAAUGAAUANAGCCCCGGUCUAAUCUUCAGUGACCAGACAUGCCGUCAGGUACAUAGCGAACGGGGGGACUCGACGUCUGCCUCGUGAGAUACGACUGGGGGGCUGUAAAUGCGGCAUCGGUAAGGGCAGGGGCGUAUUUAACNGUACCGAGAAGAGUAGACACAUCGCCCAUGCGGGCGUACACAACCNCCUUGUGUAGAACUUCGGCUCUUUUNCUGAACUGAGCGUGGUGCAUACGAUA
rnacentral:rRNA from 1 species